rnacentral:rRNA from 1 species
CGGUCCGGCAGGCUCACGCUUGUCAAUUGCUGGCUCUCGGCGAUGCCAAUCUUCCACCUCAUGGCCCUCGACCUGCCGCCUUGGUUCUUCAAGUGCAUAGACAAGCUUCGUAGGGGAUUCUUCUGGCGUGGGGUGGAAGAUGCAAAGGGGGGUUGUUGCCUCGUCGCCUGGCAUAUUGUCUGCUCGCCCAAACCCUACGGCGGCCUGGGUGUUCUCAACCUAAAAUUGCUAAAUCAGGCCCUGCGCCUACGCUGGCUUUGGCUUCAGAAGACAGUGCUGGACAAACCAUGGGGUGGCAUGGGUGUCUCCGUGUCGGCGGAGGCUGCCAGGCUGGGCACCGCGGCGCUACGGUGUGACCUCGGAGAUGGGCGCAACAUGAGCUUCUGGUUCGACCCGUGGCUUGAGGGACGCCCUAUCAUGAAGCGGGCGCCCAACUUGAUCGCGCACGUCGGGCCUGCGGGCCGUAAGCUGACUGUCGCGAGCGUGCUGCCAGGGCACGCGUGGGUGGAUUCGAUCCGUGGUGCGCCUACGGUUCCGGCGAUCGCUGAAUUCCUGCUGCUCUAG